UACGAGGGGGGCGAGCGUUUGUUCGGAAUUAUUGGGCGUAAAGGGUGCGUAGGCGGUUCCGCAAGUCCUGUGUGAAAUCUUCGGGCUCAACUCGAAGUCUGCACGGGAAACUGCGGGGCUUGAGUGUGGGAGAGGUGAGUGGAAUUCCCGGUGUAGCGGUGAAAUGCGUAGAGAUCCGGAAGAACACCGGAGGCGAAGGCGGCUUGCUGGGCUUGGUCUGACGCUGAGGCGCGAAAGCGUGGGGAGCGAACAGG
rnacentral:rRNA from 1 species